GACGAACGCUGGCGGCGUGCUUAACACAUGCAAGUCGAACGGCAAGGCCCUGCUUUUGUGGGGUGCUCGAGUGGCGAACGGGUGAGUAACACGUGAGUAACCUGCCCUUGACUUUGGGAUAACUUCAGGAAGCUGGUGCUAAUACCGGAUAGGAGCUCCUGCCGCAUGGUGGGGGUUGGAAAGUUUCGGCGGUUGGGGAUGGACUCGCGGCUUAUCAGCUUGUUGGUGGGGUAGUGGCUUACCAAGGGUUUGACGGGUAGCCGGCCUGAGAGGGUGACCGGCGACAUUGGGACUGAGAUACGGCCCAGACUCCUACGGGAGGCAGCAGUGGGGAAUAUUGCACAAUGGGCGGAAGCCUGAUGCAGCAACGCCGCGUGCGGGAGGACGGCCUUCGGGUUGUAAACCGCUUUCGCCUGUGACGAAGCGUGAGUGACGGUAAUGGGUAAAGAAGCACCGGCUAACUACGUG
rnacentral:rRNA from 1 species